UGCCAGCCGCCGCGGUAAUACGAAGGGUGCUAGCGUUGUUCGGAAUUACUGGGCGUAAAGAGCAUGUAGGCGGAUGAAUUAGUCAGAGGUGAAAGCCCCGAGCUCAACUUGGGAACUGCCUCCAAAACUGGCAAGCUAGAGGAUGUGAGAGGAUAGUGGAAUUCCGAGUGUAGGAGUGAAAUCCGUAGAUAUUCGGAGGAACACCAGUGGCGAAGGCGGCUUUCUGGACCAAUACUGACGCUGAGAUGCGAAAGCGUGGGGAGCGAACAGGAUUAGAUA
rnacentral:rRNA from 1 species